rnacentral:rRNA from 1 species
AUGGCGAACGCGGUGUCGGGCGUGGCGGUGAGCGAGGAGUGCGUGAGGGCGUUCCAGGAGAUGCGCGCGGGGCGCGCGCACCGCUUCGUGGUGUACAAGAUGGACGACGCCGUGCAGCGGGUGGUGGUGGACAAGGUGGGCGGCCGCGACGCCGGCUUCGACGACCUCACCGCGGCCCUCCCCACCGCCGACUGCCGCUACGCCGUCUAUGACCUCGACUUCACCGUCGGCGACGCCACCGCCAAAGGCGCCGACGGGGAGGCGCCGCGCAGCAAGAUUUUCUUCAUCUCCUGGUCGCCGGCGAGUGCGGAGGUGAAGAGCAAGAUGAUCUACGCCAGCUCCAACGAGGGGUUCAAGAAGGAGCUGGACGGCACGCAGAUCGACGUGCAGGCCACCGACCCCAGCGAGCUCACGCUCGACAUCCUCAAGGACCACGCCACCUAA